AUUGAACGCUGGCGGCAUGCCUUACACAUGCAAGUCGAACGGUAACAGGUCUUCGGAUGCUGACGAGUGGCGAACGGGUGAGUAAUACAUCGGAACGUGCCUAGUAGUGGGGGAUAACUACUCGAAAGAGUGGCUAAUACCGCAUGAGAUCUACGGAUGAAAGCAGGGGAUCGCAAGACCUUGUGCUACUAGAGCGGCCGAUGGCAGAUUAGGUAGUUGGUGGGAUAAAAGCUUACCAAGCCGACGAUCUGUAGCUGGUCUGAGAGGACGAUCAGGCACACUGGGACUGAGACACGGCCCAGGCUCCUACGGGAGGCAGCAGUGGGGAAGUUUGGACAAUGGGCGCAAGCCUGAUCCAGCAAUGCCGCGUGCAGGAUGAAGGCCUUCGGGUUGUAAAGUGCUUUUGUACGGAACGAAAAGCACUGGGUUAAUACCCUGGGGUCAUGACGGUACCGUAAGAAUAAGCACCGGCUAACUACGUGCCAGCAGCCGCGGUAA
rnacentral:rRNA from 1 species